rnacentral:rRNA from 1 species
UGGGGAAUAUUGGACAAUGGGCGCAAGCCUGAUCCAGCCAUGCCGCGUGAGUGAUGAAGGCCCUAGGGUUGUAAAGCUCUUUCACCGGUGAAGAUAAUGACGGUAACCGGAGAAGAAGCCCCGGCUAACUUCGUGCCAGCAGCCGCAGUAAUACGAAGGGGGCUAGCGUUGUUCGGAUUUACUGGGCGUAAAGCGCACGUAGGCGGACUAUUAAGUCAGGGGUGAAAUCCCGGGGCUCAACCCCGGAACUGCCUUUGAUACUGGUAGUCUUGAGUUCGAGAGAGGUGGGUGGAAUUCCGAGUGUAGAGGUGAAAUUCGUAGAUAUUCGGAGGAACACCAGUGGCGAAGGCGGCUCACUGGCUCGAUACUGACGCUGAGGUGCGAAAGCGUGGGGAGCAAACAGG